rnacentral:rRNA from 1 species
AUGUUCCAAUGUUGGUCUACGAGUUUGUCUCCAAUGGGACACUAUAUGAGUUUCUUCACGGCACUGCUGAUCACACACAAUCUGUCAUCAAUUUCCCUGGACCUUUGCCUGAAGAUUGCCACACAAUUAGCAGAAGCUCUUGCUUACUUGCACUCAUCGACAUCUUGCACAAUCCUGCACGGGGUUGUCAAAUCUGCCAACGUUCUUCUGGACAAUCAGUGCAAUGCCAAGGUUGCAGAUUUUGGAGCGUCAGCACUCAAGUCCAUGGACGAAAACUCGUUCAUCAUGCUCGUCCAGGUAGCCCUCGGGUAUCUUGACCCCGAAAGUUUCAUCAGCCACCUUCUCACCGACAAGAGUGACGUCUACAGCUUUUGUGUCAUUCUCCUGGAACUGCUAACAAGAAAGAGGGCUCUGUAUGCCGAUAACUCUUCCAAUCAAAAGAAAUCCUUGACCCAUAAUUUUCUCCUUAUGUUUCUCCAGCGCAAGCACAGUACAAUGCUGGACUCUGACAUUGUAGACGGAUGCUGUGGCCAUGGUGGUUGUUGA